CCACACCCAACAACCCCACCCAUAACACCCAUUUGUGCAUGUGCUAGUGUUAACCCAAUGAAGAUGAACUCCGGAUCGAGCUCUCCCACAGCAAAUUUCGUGGGUUUAAUUUUUGUUUUUGGAGCUUGGAGAACGAAAAGAACAAAAGUUUGACCAAACGGAAGAAACCUGCUAUACGUAGCUAUUCUGCUGACUUUUUGUGAUAACAAUGGCAUUUGGAACUGUUGACAUGCUCAUGAAUAAUGAUAACAACUAAUGCAGAGAAGAAAGAAGAUAAUACAUCUCUUUACUGACAAUAAAGAAUAUAAGCAAAUGAAGCAAAAAUGCUGUAUAUCUAAUUCAAUACAAGCAAGAUAGUCAUAGUCAUAAUAAGAACUGGAAAAUGAUGUGCAUAAAGUGAACUGAUAAACAAGUUUUUAGGCAGUAUUAUAUAAUACGUCUCACGACUUGAGAAAAAUUUGCAAGCCUGUAUUUAUGCAAACUAUCAAGAGUUUCACCACUAUGCAUCAUUAUUGCCUGGGUCUACCAGAUAUAUACUUUUUUCUAAUCAGUGUCCAAAUAUAA